GACGAACGCUGGCGGCGUGCUUAACACAUGCAAGUCGAACGAAGUGGCGAACGGGUGAGUAACGCGUAAUCAACCUGCCCUUCAGAGGGGGACAACAGUUGGAAACGACUGCUAAUACAGAAUACUGAAGGAGGGGAUUGCGUGUGAUUAGCUCGUUGGAGGGGUAACGGCCCACCAAGGCGAUGAUCAGUAGCCGGUCUGGGAGGAUGGACGGCCACAUUGGGACUGAGAAACCGCCCCGACUCCUACGGGGUGCAGCAGUGGGGAAUUUUCCGCAAUGGACGGAAGUCUGACUGAGCAACGCCGCGUGAGUGAUGACGGCCUUCGGGUUGUAAAGCUCUGUUAAUCGGGACGCGGUACCGGAAUAGAAAGCCACGGCUAACUACGUGCCAGCAGCCGCGGUAAUAC
rnacentral:rRNA from 1 species